rnacentral:rRNA from 1 species
UAAGCGGAGGAAAAGAAACCAACAGGGAUUGCCUCAGUAGCGGCGAGUGAAGCGGCAAAAGCUCAAAUUUGAAAUCUGGCGUCUUUGGCGUCCGAGUUGUAAUUUGAAGAAGGUAUCUUUGGGCCCGGCUCUUGUCUAUGUUCCUUGGAACAGGACGUCACAGAGGGUGAGAAUCCCGUGCGAUGAGAUGACCCGGGUCUGUGUAAAGUUCCUUCGACGAGUCGAGUUGUUUGGGAAUGCAGCUCUAAGUGGGUGGUAAAUUCCAUCUAAAGCUAAAUAUUGGCGAGAGACCGAUAGCGAACAAGUACAGUGAUGGAAAGAUGAAAAGAACUUUGAAAAGAGAGUGAAAAAGUACGUGAAAUUGUUGAAAGGGAAGGGCUUGAGAUCAGACUUGGUAUUUUGCAUGCUGCUCUCUCGGGGGCGGCCGCUGCGGUUUACCGGGCCAGCAUCGGUUUGGAGCGGCAGGAUAAUGGCGGAGGAAUGUGGCACGGCUUCUGCUGUGUGUUAUAGCCUCUGACGAUACUGCCAGCCUAGACCGAGGACUGCGGUUUUUAACCUAGGAUGUUGGCAUAAUGAUCUUAAGUCGCCCGUCUUG